UCACAGGGGAGCAGGAGACGCCGCCGGCCGCUCGCCGCGCCGCGGAAAGUUCUGCGCGCUACGGUCCCGAGCGAGCACCCGCGCACCGGAGGCGCCGACUAAAUUCUAAAAACACGAAUGAUUAAAUGAAGGCCUAUCCGGUGUCGCGGCCGUUUGGAAAAGCGGUGAGUACGGUGUUACCUCUGACCUCUGGGAAGGCACGAUAGGAGUGGAGGAACCUACCUGAAGCGGGGGCCCGGAGCUGUUCACGUGGGGAGUAAAAAGGGGCGUCCACUGACUGGGUCACGGAAGAGGGAUGUGGCAGCGGUGGGAUUCGAACCCACGCCUCCGAAGAGACUGGAGCCUUAAUCCAGCGCCUUAGACCGCUCGGCCACGCUACCGCCUCCCUGAGACCUCGUGCCUGCACUUUCCGGAACUGAAUGUCGCUUCCCCCGGCCUCGCUGCCUCCCCGCUCCCUGGUGCGCCCGGAGCCGGGGCGCGCAGGUGGCCCGGGAGGAGGUUCCUGCUCCCCGUGCCACCAACACAGAAAAAGGGGUCCUGCCAGCGGAGGGCCGGGGGGCGCUGAGGACGCAGGGGAGCCUCCGGCGGGGGAGAGAGCCAGGUCCGCGCCCCUGGGAAGGUCGAGGGGAGUCCCAGGACGCCGGCAGCCCCCACCCGCCUCGGCCAGAGCGCCUCCCAGAACCCCGAGCAGGCAGCGCGGUUCCGCUCCGGCGGCGGCUCCGCAGCCCGGCCCCUCGCGGAGCUGCCUCCGUCCCCGGCCGCCCAGGAAGGUUCGCGGGGAGACGGGUCGGCCCUGCUCUGCUCUGCACCGCUUUGGGGCGUUCGGAUACUUCAUGUCAGUUGCACUUUAUUUUCAAACAUUAUGACCCAGGGGUCUUUAGUUGCUGCAGGUUACAAUGACACUAGUAGACAUUCCGCGGACACGAGGAGACAGGUGCCUCCUUAGCGCAGUAGGCAGCGCGUCAGUCUCAUAAUCUGAAGGUCCUGAGUUCGAACCUCAGAGGGGGCAGUACCUUGUUUUUGUUUGGCCUUUUUCUCCUAAAAUCUUAACCUAAAAGACAAAGAAGGGAGUUAACAAAAAUCUUUCUUCUUUCUUUAUUUGUUUCUGUAGAAAGUGUACACCAUCACCUUAAAAAAAUCCAAUGAGGACAAACGGUAAUUUGCUGUUUAACCCAACCAUGUAAUGUUUCGUUACAAAACAGUGAUUUUCUUUAAGAAUUAAAUACUCCAGAAUUCUUCCACUCCUUAAACACCACUUGUAGCUAGGGCUAGGAGACUUUUCAUAUGCCUUUGGGAUAUGCUUGGCAAUUUUUUUGUUACAAAAAACAUCAGCGAUAAGAAAUACACUGGUUGAGAGGGAGAAGGGAGAAGUGGGAAACGUAGUAUGAUGUUCAACAUUUAUUAAUGACUGGUUGUUUAUUUUUUGUCAUUAUUCUGCAAUUGUUUACCACCGGAUCACUAAUGACAUCCUACAUGAAAAAGAAAAGUGUCAUUGGAUCUCUUUUCGCUUCCAGUGUUAUUGACUAGAUCUCUCGUCAUCCAACUCUGCGGUGCAGGAUGGUGUAAAAAGAAAAACAAGAAGUAAAGAAAUGAGAAGUGAUAUUUUGAGUCAAGAGCUUGAUAUUAUAAAGACACCACCCAGAUAAUGCUUGCUCAACUUUUUAAGAUGACCACUAAAGUCUACAAGACUUAAUAUGAGAAACCUCAAGAACCCAUGAAAGGUAUUUGCCUUUAAAGAAAAAUGACGGUAAAGCCUUCCUCUGUGCUGACGCUCCUGCUGCUCAGAUGUGGCCUAAGGCUCCUACGCAGGACCUGACAGAACCCAACCCUGAAGGAGCCACCUGACAAUGGAGAACCAAGGAUGCUUUUACCAACCGAUCAGUGUUUCUUUCAAAGGAAGAUCUUGAUCAAAAGAGGCAAAUGUAAACAUAAUAUAAACGGAGCCACUUUGAAAUGGAGCUGGAGUUGUCAUCCCAGAGGAACUGCCCUACACAUCUUAUGCCUCAAACGUUUGGGAUGUUGAAACGGGGAAAAAUGACCGUUUUGGACUGGGCCUAAAGCAACAUUGCACCCCAAAGAACUGUUUGCAAGGAUAACAAGAAAGCAGUUAAUAUGAUUACCAAAGAGGUAGUCAUAAUACACUAAAAGUUAAAAACAUUGUUUAGGAAGGCGGGGGAGGUGGGGGGUAAAGCUUAACCGAAGAACGUAUAUGCAUAUG